rnacentral:rRNA from 1 species
GAUGAACGCUGGCGGCGUGCCUAAUACAUGCAAGUCGAGCGAUCGAACUAGAAGUUUCCUUCUUUGAUUUUUGCCGCGCACGGGUGUGUCACACGUGCAUACUCUCCCUAUCAGACUGGGAUCACUUCGGGACACCUUCGCUAAUACCGGAUACAACUUUAAACCGCAUGCUUCAAAAGUGAAAGACGUUCUUGUUGUCACUUAUUGAUGGCUCCGCGCUGCAUUAGCUAGUUGGUAAGGUACCGACUUACCAAGGCAACGAUGCGUAGCCGACCUGAGAGGGUGAUCGGCCACACGGGAACGUAGACACGGUCCAUGGGCCUGCGAGAGGCAGCAGUAGGGAAUCGUCCGCAGUGGGGGAAAGCCUGACAGAGCAGGGGCGCGUGUGUGAUAGAGAUGUUCGGAUCGGAAAACUCUGUUAUUAGGGAAGAACAUAUGUGUAAGUAACAGUGCACAGCGUGACGGUACCUAAACAGAAAGCCACGGCUAACUACGUG